rnacentral:rRNA from 1 species
GAGUUUGAUCCUGGCUCAGGACGAACGCUGGCGGCGCGCCUAACACAUGCAAGUCGAACGAGCGAGAGGAGGUUUACUUUCUCAAGCGAGUGGCGAACGGGUGAGUAACGCGUGAGGAACCUGCCUCAAAGAGGGGGACAACAGUUGGAAACGACUGCUAAUACCGCAUAAGCCCACGACCUGGCAUCGGGUAGAGGGAAAAGGAGCAAUCCGCUUUGAGAUGGCCUCGCGUCCGAUUAGCUAGUUGGUGAGGUAAUGGCCCACCGAGCCUACGACGGGUAGCCGGCCUGAGAGGGCGACCGGCCACAUUGGGACUGAGAUACGGCCCAGACUCCUACGGGAGGCAGCAGCGGGGAAUAUUGCACAAUGGGCGCAAGCCUGAUGCAGCGACGCCGCGUGAAGGAAGAAGUAUCUCGGUAUGUAAACUUCUAUCAGCAGGGAAGAUAGUGACGGUACCUGACUAAGAAGCCCCGGCUAACUACGUGCCAGCAGCCGCGGUAAUUC